CUUUUUGGAAUUUUGUAAGAUUUAUUGAGAAUAGAACAGGCUUCCUGUCCCCUAACCCUGUGGUGGAUCCUGAGAAGAGGGAAGCCUAGGUCUGGGUGGUGUGGGCUGGAGGCCCUACCCACCUGCAAAUGGGGACUCCCAGGCCCCCGCGGGUGCAUACAGUGAACAAGGCUUUCAAUUUUCUUUUAAAACCCCUGAUUAAAAUUGAGAUUUUCAAAACAAAAAGAAUAUAAAACAUUGAGGACUAAAAGGAACAUUUUGGUCUGGGCAGGAAGAAGAGCACUGCGGCCUCCUAGGCUGCAUUUUGGGGGAAUGUUGGUGGGGGGCUGUGGUCAGGUGAUGGGGCUCCCUAUCUCCUGCCGAGCCCAGUGGGUGGCCUGACUCUGGUGAGCACCACACACCCCAGAGUCCCAUCUUCCAGGAAAAGCUGGGGUCUUACAGCAGAGAGGCUCUGGGAGCACAUCUCCCCUUCUGGUCCCCAAAGGCCCCCAGCUGCCUGGCCCCUGGCCCACUAACCCAGGCAUGCUCCUUCCAGCACUGGGCAGAGGAGUCAGGAAGAUGCCCUUCCUCACCCCCACUGACGCCACCUCUCCAGGGACCUUAACGCAGGGGCUGGGAAUGGAAUCGGAAGCUAGAAUGAGCAGGCAGCAGCAGCUCCCCUAGGUAUCUGCCUCUGAGAGGACCUGAGGACAGAGGCGAGGCCCAAGGCAGAGGCCGGAGUAGGGCCCCGCUUCACCUGGGGCCUCAAAGGUGUCGUUUAUUCAUUUGGCAAAUCUCCACUGAGUGAGGAAAUGGAUGGGUGAGAGGAUGGGAUUAGAGAAUGAACAAAUGUCACCUGCAUAUUUUCCCAAUUCCAGCCUGAGCAGGAACCCGGCAGGAGCCAAGAGUCCUUUCAAGGUGGGAGAACACCAGGUAUUGCUGAUGGGGAAAGUGAGGUCUGGGAGGCUGGGUUGGGCCCAGUGGGGACAUGCAGAUGGUGGUGGGAACGGUCAGAGCCAGGUAGGUGGGCAGGUGUCAGACAGCCAUGAGGGAGGUGCUGCUGAGAAUGUGCACGGCCACAGUGCCUGGCAGGUUGCUGGGCUGCCGGCUAUUUCGGUCCCGGAGGUGGAGGGUAUGCAGGGCCUGGAGGUUGUCCGGGUCAGCCUUUAGGUGCACCUGGCCCAGAAAUUCAUCCUUCAGCA
rnacentral:lncRNA from 1 species